rnacentral:lncRNA from 1 species
UCAAAACGAGAGCUCCAGGGGAUAGAAGAUAAAGAUGGUAGGCUAAGACAGAAGGAGUUCAAGUUAGAUCCGCUAAGAUCGAGUUGAGAUUCCUAAUUCAAGUCAGGGACUGAGUGGGCCGUUGGCUAUGCUAUUGAAUGCGUUGUCGGAAGGAUGGGAGGAUAGAAUACCCGAGACUAGCUGCCGGAAAGAGCUCAUUAGAGGCAUUCCACUUUCUUCCAAUGAGAUGUCUUACGCUUCAUGAUGGCAUUUAGAGGGCUCUGCUCUGUAGCCAGAGUAUAGUAAGGAGCGAGGGAUAGAAGGGAUUCAAAAAGACUAAAGUAAAGUUUUGCAAUAAAAAGAACUUCUUAAUCCAGCUGCCAUUUCGCUAGAUAC